GCGUAUACGACACUUUUCUUUCUACGACGAUCGUUCUAUUUAAAUGCCAACGCAGCAGACACCGUAGUUUCCUGGCUUUAAUUUCCACCGAGCCAAACAGGAAAUAGCCCUUUACUUUAUUUUCCGGGAAAAUCGUCUUCGGCUGGAAAAUCUUUUACUCGGUUUCAUAAAACGACUUCGCGGAACUGGCAUCACAGCAAAGCUACGGAGCAAUCUCUCUGAGCUCGCAGUACAUGAUGAUGAUGAAGAAGCAGAAGAAGAAAUUCGAAGUUACGUUUUGGCUCCUCGACAGAACACACUGGUGGAUGGGAACACGUGGACUCGGAGGCAUCUUUUCCUUUUCUAGAAUUAUCCCUUUAAUGCCUCGUUUGCAUCGAAGGUUUAGGGUUAAAAGGACCCUCAAGCAGGGUGGAGGUAGAAGGGAGAGAUUUUUUAGACCAUUGUUGAAGGAGAUAAUCAUUCUCAACCAUGGGAGAUAAGCCUUCCGAUACUCCAAUUCCUGAUGGGUGGAAGUUCAAGAGUGAGGUCGGAAAGGACGGAUCCACAUCCUCGGUAAAUACACACAUGAUUCCCAAGCUCUGUUCUUUAUCUAUUGAUUUUCUUGUUCUGUUCUAGUUCUGAAGUGCUUUAAUCAAUAUUCUCUACACAUGCAUGAUUUGCAUUACUGCUGUAAUAGGUUUCAGUCUUGGUGGUAGAUUGCCUUAGCUGAUGUAAUUCUCAUUUUGCACAUUAUUCAUAUCAACUCUUAGUAGUUGAAA